rnacentral:rRNA from 1 species
CCCCCCCUAAGCCUAAGAAUUGGUUGGGGCGACAAAGGACCCCCUACAACGUCCUUCCUUAAAUCGACCUCACGUCUCCAAACGACUCAUUAGACCCCUUGUUAAAGAGGCUUUAGCUACCUUAGGGAUAACAGACUAAUAUCCCCUCAAGAGCCCAAAUCGACAGGGGAGCUUGGCACCUCGAUGUUGGCUUAGGGAACCCAGUUU